CGAAGAGUAGGGCGGGACACGUGGUAUCCUGUCUGAAUAUGGGGGGACCAUCCUCCAAGGCUAAAUACUCCUGACUGACCGAUAGUGAACCAGUACCGUGAGGGAAAGGCGAAAAGAACCCCGGCGAGGGGAGUGAAAAAGAACCUGAAACCGUGUACGUACAAGCAGUGGGAGCACCUUCGGGUGUGACUGCGUACCUUUUGUAUAAUGGGUCAGCGACUUAUAUUCUGUAGCAAGGUUAACCGUAUAGGGGAGCCGCAGGGAAACCGAGUCUUAACUGGGCGUUAAGUUGCAGGGUAUAGACCCGAAACCCGGUGAUCUAGCCAUGGGCAGGUUGAAGGUUGGGUAACACUAACUGGAGGACCGAACCGACUAAUGUUGAAAAAUUAGCGGAUGACUUGUGGCUGGGGGUGAAAGGCCAAUCAAACCGGGAGAUAGCUGGUUCUCCCCGAAAGCU
rnacentral:rRNA from 2 species